GACGAACGCUGGCGGCGUGCUUAACACAUGCAAGUCGAACGGAAAGGCCCUGCUUUUGUGGGGUGCUCGAGUGGCGAACGGGUGAGUAACACGUGAGUAACCUGCCCUUGACUUUGGGAUAACUUCAGGAAACUGGGGCUAAUACCGGAUAGGAGCUCCUGCUGCAUGGUGGGGGUUGGAAAGUUUCGGCGGUUGGGGAUGGACUCGCGGCUUAUCAGCUUGUUGGUGGGGUAGUGGCUUACCAAGGCUUUGACGGGUAGCCGGCCUGAGAGGGUGACCGGGCACAUUGGGCCUGAGAGACGGACCAGACGCCUACGGGAGGCAGCGGGGGGGAAUAUUGCGCAGUGGGCGGAAGCCAGAUGCAGCAACGCCGCGUGCGGGAUGACGGCCUUCGGGUUGUAAACCGCUUUCGCCUGUGCCGAAGCGGGAGUGACGGUAAUGGGUAAAGAAGCACCGGCUAACUACGUG
rnacentral:rRNA from 1 species